rnacentral:lncRNA from 1 species
CGUGACCUCAUUCAGCAGGAGAGGAUAUCCUGUGCUGCAAAAUGUAAGCUAUGACUGGAUACAACAGGCAGAGACACAAACAAGGCUACUGCUGAAUCUCCUCUGCAGUGGGAGUGGAGUCAGCAUUUCUUCUUGCUGUUGAGCUUCGGGACAGGCAUCUAUCUCUUGCACUCACACAGUUCUUUCGGUUGAACAUCUGCAAGGCGACACAGAUUUGAGGGACUGUCACACUUGACUAGAGCUCACUUGGGUGCUCCUGGAACCUGGAACGAACAAACUCUAAGA